rnacentral:rRNA from 1 species
GACGAACCACACGAACGUUAUUCGGAAUUACUGGGCUUAAAGGGUGCGUAGGCGGCGCAGAAAGUUGGGUGUGAAAUCCCUCGGCUCAACCGAGGAACUGCGCCCAAAACUACUGUGCUUGAGGAAGAUAGAGGUAAGCGGAACUUACGGUGGAGCGGUGAAAUGCGUUGAUAUCGUAAGGAACACCUGUGGCGAAAGCGGCUUACUGGGUCUUUUCUGACGCUGAGGCGCGAAAGCUAGGGGAGCAAACGGG